UCGAACGAGAAGCUUCCUUCGGGAAGUGGAGAGUGGCGCACGGGUGAGUAACGCGUGGGAAUUUGCCUCCUGGUACGGGAUAACGUCUGGAAACGGACGCUAAUACCGUAUGUGGUCUACGGACCAAAGAUUUAUCGCCAGGAGAGGAGCCCGCGUAGGAUUAGGUAGUUGGUGUGGUAACGGCGCACCAAGCCGACGAUCUUUAGCUGGUCUGAGAGGACGAUCAGCCACACUGGAACUGAGACACGGUCCAGACUCCUACGGGAGGCAGCAGUGGGGAAUAUUGGACAAUGGGGGCAACCCUGAUCCAGCCAUGCCGCGUGAGUGAAGAAGGCCUUAGGGUUGUAAAGCUCUUUCGCUAGGGAAGAUAAUGACGGUACCUAGUAAAGAAGUCCCGGCUAACUCCGUGCCAGCAGCCGCGGUAAUACGGAGGGGACUAGCGUUGUUCGGAAUUACUGGGCGUAAAGAGUACGUAGGCGGCUUGUCAAGUUGGGUGUGAAAGCCCGGGGCUCAACCCCGGAACUGCAUUCAAAACUGGCUGGCUAGAGAUCGGAAGAGGUAAGUGGAAUUCCCAGUGUAGAGGUGAAAUUCGUAGAUAUUGGGAA
rnacentral:rRNA from 1 species